rnacentral:rRNA from 1 species
AACGAACGCUGGCGGCAGGCCUAACACAUGCAAGUCGAACGGGCACCUUCGGGUGUCAGUGGCAGACGGGUGAGUAACGCGUGGGAACCUACCCAGUGGUACGGAAUAACUCGGGGAAACCCGAGCUAAUACCGUAUACGCCCUCAGGGGGAAAGAUUCAUCGCCAUUGGAUGGGCCCGCGUCGGAUUAGCUUGUUGGUGGGGUAAUGGCCCACCAAGGCGACGAUCCGUAGCUGGUCUGAGAGGAUGAUCAGCCACACUGGGACUGAGACACGGCCCAGACUCCUACGGGAGGCAGCAGUGGGGAAUAUUGGACAAUGGGCGAAAGCCUGAUCCAGCCAUGCCGCGUGAGUGAAGAAGGCCCUAGGGUUGUAAAGCUCUUUCGGCGGGGACGAUAAUGACGGUACCCGCAGAAGAAGCCCCGGCUAACUCCGUGCCAGCAGCCGCGGUAAUACGGAGGGGGCUAGCGUUGUCGGAAUUACUGGGCGUAAAGCGCACGUAGGCGGACUGCUAAGUCGGGGGUA